rnacentral:rRNA from 1 species
GGGUGCGAGCGUUGUCCGGAAUCWCUGGGCKUAAAAGGCGYGUAGGYGGCCURAUAAGUAGGGGGWAAAAUCCUGCGRYUUAACCGCAGGGCUGCCUUYUAAACUGUCAGGCUCGAGCACAGUAGAGGCAGGUGGAAUUCCCGGUGUAGCGGUGGAAUGCGUAGAGAUCGGGAAGAACAUCAGUGGCGAAGGCGGCCUGCUGGGCUGUUGCUGACGYUGAGGCGCGACAGCGUGGGGAGCAAACAGGAUUAGAUACCCUGGUAGUCCACGCCGUAAACGAUGGGCACUAGGCGUCGGGGGGAGCGACCCUCCCGGUGCCGUCGCURACGCAGUAAGUGCCCCGCCUGGGGAGUACGGCCG